AACUAACGCUGGCGGCGUGCCUAACACAUGCAAGUCGUACGAGAAAGCCGGCUUCGGCUGGUGAGUAAAGUGGCGCACGGGUGAGUAACGCGUGGAUAAUCUGCCCUUAAGUGUGGAAUAACGUACCGAAAGGUGCGCUAAUACCGCAUAAUGCCUGGCAACACAAGUUGUCCGGCCAAAGAAGGCCUCUGUUUACAAGCUUUCGCUUCAGGAUGAGUCCGCGUACCAUUAGCUUGUUGGUGGGGUAAUGGCCUACCAAGGCUGCGAUGGUUAGCUGGUCUGAGAGGAUGAUCAGCCACACUGGAACUGAGACACGGUCCAGACUCCUACGGGAGGCAGCAGUGAGGAAUAUUGCGCAAUGGGGGCAACCCUGACGCAGCAACGCCGCGUGAGGGACGAAGGCCCUUGGGUCGUAAACCUCUUUUGCAGGGGAAGAAGAAGAUGACGGUACCUUGCGAACAAGUCCCGGCUAACUACGUGCCAGCAGCCGCGGUAAACACG
rnacentral:rRNA from 1 species